AUUGAACGCUGGCGGCAGGCCUAACACAUGCAAGUCGAGCGGCAGCACUUCGGGUGGCGAGCGGCGGACGGGUGAGUAACACGUAGGAAUCUACCUAGUAGUGGGGGAUAGCCCGGGGAAACUCGGAUUAAUACCGCAUACGCUCUACGGAGGAAAGGGGGCUUUGGCUCUCGCUAUUAGAUGAGCCUGCGUCGGAUUAGCUAGUUGGUGAGGUAAAGGCUCACCAAGGCGACGAUCCGUAACUGGUCUGAGAGGAUGAUCAGUCACACUGGAACUGAGACACGGUCCAGGCUCCUACGGGAGGCAGCAGUGGGGAAUAUUGGACAAUGGGGGAAACCCUGAUCCAGCCAUGCCGCGUGUGUGAAGAAGGCCUU
rnacentral:rRNA from 1 species